GACGAACGCUGGCGGCGUGCUUAACACAUGCCAGUCGAACGGAAAGGCCUGCUUUCCCUUGUGGAUUGCGGGUACUCGAGUGGCGAACGGGUGAGUAACACGUGAGUGAUCUGCCCCCAACUUGGGUAUAAGCCUGGGAAACUGGGUCUAAUUCCCGAUAGGACUGCAGGGUGGUGCCUGUGGUGGAAAACGAUUUUCUAGUGGUUGGGGAUGAGCUCGCGGCCUAUCAGCUUGUUGGUGGGGUAAUGGCCUACCAAGGCGGCGACGGGUAGCCGGCCUGGGAGGGAGGACGGCCACAUUGGGACUGAGAUACGGCCCAGAAUCCUACGGGGGGCAGCAGUGGGGAAUAUUGCACGAGGGGCGGAAGCCUGAGGCAGCGACGCCGCGUGGGGGAUGACGGCCUUCGGGUGGUAAACUCCUUUCGACCGCGAGGAAGCCACCUGGUUGGAAGGGUGGUGACGGUAGUGGUAGAAGAAGCACCGGCUAACUACGUG
rnacentral:rRNA from 1 species